rnacentral:lncRNA from 1 species
GGCUCACCCUACUGACUCCCCCAUAUACACUGUAGCAGGCUCACCCUUUCAACAAACUAAUAAAUGGGAAACAUUUGAUGAGGUAUUAAUUAGUAUUUGUUGUUUUGAAAUCUCCCCCCUUUCCUCUCUUUCCCCUUCCUUCAGUCUUUCCUUGGCUGUUUCCUUUGCAAUGAAGAAGCUCUCUAAUUUAAUAUAGCAUGUGUUUCAUAUGUGUAUGUUGCACUGGGAACUAGGGUACUGCUUUUAUUAUUUUUUUUAAUGAAGAUGUCUUCCAGUUGGUGUUUACUUUUCUCCCGUGUAGAGACUUCAGUUAUAAAAUUCUGUCAUGAAAAUUCAUAUCUCAUUAACAUCAUGACUAGCAAACCAUAGUGUGUUUGUGCCUGAACAAAGAAACAUCUAUUUUGAGUCCUAAGUCUUAUAAUAUCCCAUAAGAAUAUUGUCCCAUUCAUCAAGUGCAGCCCAAUUCUUAUCUUUCUCAAAGAAAAAAAAAUCUUUUUACAAAUUUAGUAGAAAUCAUGCUUCCUCUAUGAACCAACGGACUAUCCUUUCUGGACACAGAUGUGAACAGCUGUUGCUAGUCCUCAGGGGAGGACCCCAGGCUGUCUUUCCUUCUUUCUCAUUCCCACACCUAUAAAUUUGGCCUGUUCACACUUUCCAGGGAUGAAUUCAGUCUUCAGAGUCAUGGUAACCAGUCCCAGACUGUGCAACUGACACGCUUUGAAAUGCCAGCAUAUAAGAGUAAAUGCUAACAGUUACCACACAGCUGCUUGUGCAAACUAUAGACGAUAGAGUCUGGAGUUCGGCAGACCAGCCAAAACGCCACGGUUGCCUCCUGAUGACCUACAUCUGCUCUCUGCCUGGAGCCAAUAAUGCAAGCAGUAUUUUCAUCACGAAGCAUCUAGAGAGAAAAGAUUUCACAACUUCCUAG